ACUUCACGGUUUGUGGUGGAAGCUUUUGCGGUGUGGGAUGGGCCCGCGGCCUAUCAGCUUGUUGGUGGGGUAAUGGCCUACCAAGGCGACGACGGGUAGCCGGCCUGAGAGGGUGACCGGCCACACUGGGACUGAGAUACGGCCCAGACUCCUACGGGAGGCAGCAGUGGGGAAUAUUGCACAAUGGGCGCAAGCCUGAUGCAGCGACGCCGCGUGAGGGAUGACGGCCUUCGGGUUGUAAACCUCUUUCAGCACAGACGAAGCGCAAGUGACGGUAUGUGCAGAAGAAGGACCGGCCAACUACGUGCCAGCAGCCGCGGUAAUACGUAGGGUCCGAGCGUUGUCCGGAAUUACUGGGCGUAAAGAGCUCGUAGGUGGUUUGUCGCGUUGUCCGUGAAAACUCACAGCUCAACUGUGGGCGUGCGGGCGAUACGGGCAGACUGGAGUACUGCAGGGGAGACUGGAAUUCCUGGUGUAGCGGUGGAAUGCGCAGAUAUCAGGAGGAACACCGGUGGCGA
rnacentral:rRNA from 1 species